UACGUAGGGACCAAGCGUUGUUCGGAUUUACUGGGCGUAAAGGGCGCGUAGGCGGCAAUUCAAGUCAUCUGUGAAAUCUCCGGGCUUAACUCGGAACGGUCAGAUGAUACUGCUUUGCUAGAGUACAGAAGGGGCAAUCGGAAUUCUUGGUGUAGCGGUGAAAUGCGUAGAUAUCAAGAGGUACACCUGAGGUGAAGACGGGUUGCUGGGCUGAUACUGACGCUGAGGCGCGAAAGCUAGGGUAGCAAACGGG
rnacentral:rRNA from 1 species